rnacentral:lncRNA from 1 species
CUUCUGAAGUCCCUCCCUUCCUGCCCUCUCAUUCUCUGGGGAUGAAGCACACUUGUUGGAUGGAUAAGAGGAAGACGGAGGAAUGGAGGAAUAACAACAUGUCGUCAACUCCUUGCAAGACUCUGGCAGUCAAGAUGGAAUUCCACAAGCUGGACCUAGCCUAGGUUAUUGGAAGCGUUUUCUGGCAGGAGUGGACUGUGGAGCUUUACUGAGCCAGCAUUACAAGGGUAGCAGCAGACCUGGGCAGGUGGUAAAGAAUCAACUGUUUUCCAUGGAGGCUGACAUUGGAGGAGCUAGUGGUCCGUUCUACACUCCCAACAAGUUCAAUAUGAUAUCCUGGGAUUUCUGCAAAGACAUAUCUGUGCCACGCUGUUCUAGGGUGGCUCAUGCUAUUUGCCCAGUUUUUGACAAUGCAGUUGGAAGUCAGGGCAAUGACAGAGAUGGGUGAAGGGGAUAACGUAAAGAGUGGAAGGGGGAUGUGA